rnacentral:lncRNA from 1 species
UUUUAACAAAAUGGGAUUAGCACCAAUUAUCACUCUGUGUAUGAUUGGAGUGAUAUUCAAAGAUGUGCUCGCGCUACCAUACAUGUCCUCCGAUACAAAUACAAAAUUUGAAGCAACCAGAAAAGCAUUGACAGAUCUUGGAAAAAACAUAAAAAAAAUAAAUUAAAAAAGUUAGAUGACGACAUGGGAUCAUUAGUUUUAGAUUUUAAGAGUAAGUAAUUCCGCAUUUUGUGAAAUUGAUUGAAAGUUUUUAAAUUCUUACUAAAUAGAUAAGAAUAAAAUUAUUAUUCUUAUUAAAUUUCGUAAACUUUUGCAGACUUUAUUCAGAACAUUUCAAGUAUAAGCAUAUAGAAAACCAGAUUUUUAUUUCAUUGACGUUUACCACACAUCUUCCUUUAUUGUGUUCAUAAAAAAAAAUAUAUAUCGACUUACAUGUAGCACAUCGAGCAUGACACAUGUUUCCUGGUGUUUUGUAUUUGGUAUUGCGCGUGAACAAUUAGAAAAGAAAUAGGCCAUCAAAAGACAUUUGUAUAUUCGUUUAAAUAGCAGUCACCUGUAAUAUAUCACAGAUACACAUUUCGACAAUCAUUAUCUCUGCAUUAAUAUUCUAGUCUAAAAUUUGUAAAACUACAAAUAUCGAUGAUUUGCUAAUGUAAACAAAAACAACUUUUAAUAAAAUGUAAUAUAAACGAUUUUAAAAGAAUGAAGUAAUGAUAAAAAAAUAGCUUAUGAUUUUUGAACAGUUCUUUUUUGAAAAUCAUAAUUCAUAAUUUAACUAUUUAAUUUGCAAGAAGACGCAUGUAUCUUAUGUAACCAGAAAAAAACAUCCAAUCACCGUUUAUAUUUUAUACUUUUAAUUGAUAUUAAUAGGCUUUUAAUUGAUAUUAAUAGGAUUAAAAUAUUCAUUGUUACCUUAAAAGAGAAACAAUGGCAUAAAUACAAAGGACAUUGUUACUACUACGGGGCCGAAAAUCUUUCUUGGUUUGAGUCUGAGGAAAGAU